CUUGGAAGAGUACGUGCCAGAAAGACCACAACCAAGCAGCCUUGAGAUCUUAGGCAGCGUCUCCCUGAGCGACUCCAUGGAUUUUAUGGAUGGUGGUUAAAGACCUGCUCUUCUAGUGGUCUUCCUUCUAGUCGCUGUAAAAAGUCAGUCCAUCCUGGCCGACUUCAACACCUCUUCAUGACAACUUGUUCUGCCUCUGACCUCUUGGAAACUCCAGAAACUGGGGAAAACCUGUGGAGACUCGAAGAACUCGUGGUGACUCGAAGAACUCGUGGAGACUCGAAGAACUCGUCGGGCGGGG
ensembl:lncRNA